CAUUGGGGUACAUAGGAAUAGUGUUGAUAUAAGAUAGGGUCUCCUCCUCCUGCUGGGUCAAAGAAGGCUGUGUUUAGGUUUCGGUCUGUUAGUAGUAUUGUGAUGCCAGCUGCUAAUACAGGAAGU